rnacentral:rRNA from 1 species
AGAGUUUGAUCCUGGCUCAGAACGAACGCUGGCGGCGUGCCUAACACAUGCAAGUCGAACGGAAGUAAGAAGCUUGCUUUUUACUUUAGUGGCGCACGGGUGAGUAACGCGUGGAUAAUCUGCCUGAUGCUCUGGGAUAACAUCUCGAAAGGGGUGCUAAUACCGGAUAAGCCCACGGGAUCUUCGGAUCUUGCGGGAAAAGGAGGGGACCUUCGGGCCUUCCGACAUUAGAUGAGUCCGCGUCCCAUUAGCUAGUUGGUGGUGUAAUGGACCACCAAGGCGACGAUCUGUAGCGGGUCUGAGAGGAUGAUCCGCCACACUGGAACUGAGACACGGUCCAGACUCCUACGGGAGGCAGCAGUGGGGAAUUUUGGACAAUGGGGGCAACCCUGAUCCAGCCAUGCCGCGUGAGUGAAGAAGGCCUUCGGGUUGUAAAGCUCUUUCAGCCGGGAAGAAAACGCAUGGGUUAAUACCCUGUGUGGAUGACGGUACCGGAAUAAGAAGCACCGGCUAACUACGUGCCAGCAGCCGCGGUAAUACGUAGGGUGCGAGCGUUAAUCGGAAUUACUGGGCGUAAAGCGUGCGCAGGCGGUUUGUUAAGAUAGGCGUGAAAUCCCCGGGCUCAACCUGGGAACUGCGUUUAUGACUGGCAAGCUAGAGUAUGGCAGAGGGGGGUGGAAUUCCACGUGUAGCAGUGAAAUGCGUAGAGAUGUGGAGGAACACCGAUGGCGAAGGCAGCCCCCUGGGCCAAUACUGACGCUCAUGCACGAAAGCGUGGGUAGCAAACAGGAUUAGAUACCCUGGUAGUCC